rnacentral:lncRNA from 1 species
CCUCAUAUAUGAUGUGAAUACACGUAUAUACCUUGCGUUUUGAAAUCUUUGAAGUCUGAAGAGAGUAAACUCAAAUAAAUGUUGAAAAUUAAAAUGUUAGUAUUAAUCGACUUAUUGAAAUAAAUCUAAAAAGACUGACGAAUAAGCCCCUGUUUUGAAAAAAUUGAACUUUAGUGACUUAUUCCCUACUAAACUCAUAUUAAAAUUUCAUUUUUUAUUUUUGAGCAAAUACAGGGGGCGGGGGAGGGGGGCACGCUAAGUCUAGAAGAGAAACUUCUCUUUUAGGUCAAAGUUAGCCCUUUCUUUAAAGUAAAUUGGCCAAGUCCUGAAAUGAUAAAGCCCCUUUUUCAUCUUUUAAACGAAAUCUAUAUUUACAAGUUAGUUAAUCGUGUGUUGUUUGUAAAGGGACGGGGAUAUUAAUCGAAAUUCACAAAUACUAAGGCAACAAAACGCACUAAGCAAAUGAUAUGAAUACAACAAUAAUAACUAUACGAUUCCGAGGUUCAAAAAGGCUUAACAACAUAGCAAGAAUAAUGAAAUAAAGAGAAUGGUUGAGGAAUUUUAGACUCCUAAUGGAGUUUGAGUUCCUAAUUUAUGCGACUCCAAGAUCCUACGAUCCUAGUAGCGGUUGACAUGAUGCUUGGUUCAAAAUGAGUUUCGAAUGAAACUCCACCUGAUCUCUAGCUCACGUGAAACAAUAAAAGAAAUAAGAAAUUAUGUAACAACCUAAAAAUUUGAUGAAAUAUGUGAAAUUUGUGAUUUUGUGUGAUUUGACUAUUCUAACCCUCUCCAUAAUUGUAUUAUGAUAUUUCUGGGGUGUGGGAUGAUUGGCAUAGUUUCUGAUGCAUUUUGGUAUAAUUUAUGCGAUAUUGUAGUUUUUGAAGGCUCUGAGAGCCUUAUUUUGGACUUAUGGAUAUACCUUUUGAUCCAUGCGGCGGAUGACCUAACAGACUGCGCCAGCGGCUCUGGAAUAUCAAUUUUAGGCUAGGUAGACCUUUGGUUUGAAUACGUGUGCACCCGAGCUCAUUUCAACCUAUUGAUCGAAAGUUGAAAAAAUUAAAAAUAUGGGUGUGGGAUCCACAUUAGAUCGAAACAACCUCGAAUGAAAAAUUCAACUUUGCCAGCAGAUCCGGAAGGUUGAUUUUAGGGUGUUAGCAUAUUUGAUAUGAUUUUACGGCUUUCAAAUAUCAUUUCAACUCUCGAUUUGGAAAAUUAUGAUUUCGGAUUCUGGGGUCAACUUUGUGAAAAUGAUAUUUUUUUGAAAAUAUGAUAUCGUCAUCGCGUCUGGAACGUCGAAUUUAGUAUGUUUGCAUAGUUCGUUUGUAUGGAUAGGACUUCGAAUGAAUCCCGGACACCCCGUCGAGGAGAAAAAAAUAGCAGUUUUUUCUGCUAUAACAGUGCAGAAAAUCUGCACUGUUUAAGCAACUUUUUUGGUCCAUUUUGCUCAUUUUUUAUCUUGUCUCUUGAGAGUUAAAUCCUAAAAUAGUGUGGAAAAUUAAAAGUGAAGUUUGUGGGAGCUUGGGAAGCUGGAUUAAUAUAUAUUUCUUGGUUUUAUUACGGAUUUAAGGUAAGAAUUCACCCUUUCCUUAGUAAAUUCUUGAUUAAUUUCUCAAAACUUCAAAAAUCUUAGGGCUUUAUUUUAAACCCCAAUUUAACUCUUUUUCACUUGAAUAAUGUUUUUAUCUUAUAAUUAUUAGUUUUUCAUCAAUUUAACCUGUAAAACAACUCCGAUUCUUCAUUUUAACCAGGAUUUCAAAGAUUUUAUCCGGUAAAGCUUAAAAUGGUUUUUCUUCAAUUUGAACCUCGUUUUUUUUUUCGAUUUCACUUGAGUUUUCAGCUGUGAAUUCCUAAAAUUAUGAAAAACAUAUUUUCGAAGUAAAGUUCAGAUUUUGUCCUUUUUCGAAAACUCAUUCUGGGGGUCCAUUUUGAUCCCGAACCAAAAGUAGUCAAUAUGGGUAUCGUUAGUUUUGUUUUGAUGCGUAGAUUUCAUAUUUGAUAUUUUUAGUGGAUUUCAAAAUUGUUCAUGAAAAGUAAGAUCGUGAGUUCGAAGUGUAGCGGAUCGAUUUUGACUUUUGAGGUAGGUUAUGGCUUAACUCUUUCAGACUGAGUUGGGUAGUAAAUGAUGGUACAAAAUACAUGUUAAGAGUGGGAACUAAUCAUGAAAAAUAUUUAUCUACGUAUUGUGUCCAUGUGGGCCCUAUAUGUGAUGUAAUUGUCGAAAUUGAGAUAUUAUGUGAUAUGUGUGACCGUGUGGGGUCCUAUGUGACAUUGAUAGUCUUGAAUACAUGUGAAUAAUUGUAUUGUGUUGUUGAAAUGCCUAAUGUGAUUUCAUUGGUAUAUUAUGAUAUAUCCAUACUUAUUGGUAUAUGAGACAUGUGAAAAUUCAUGGAUAAAACUAAAAUAAUGAGUGGAUAUUGGCUCAUGUGGUUGUAGAAUUGUAACAUUAUGGUUGGUUGUGUAAAUACAUCAAGUGUAUUGGGCGUGAAAAUACAUCACGUGGAUUGGUUGUGAAAAUACUCAUUUUUAAUGGUUGUGAAUAAUGCAUCAUCAUUCUCAUGUCAUCAUACACAUUAUUUCACUUAUUCAUUUUACUGCUUUAUAUAUACUUGUUGUCAUGUAUGUGUACUUGAUUUAUGUCUUAUAUAUGUAUGUGCUUUAAAAAUACUGGAAACACUGGAAUACUGGAUAUUUAUAUCGGAUAUUGAAUUUUAUGGACCAUCUCAGAAGGAUCAUGCAAGAGAAAAGUUGCGAGUAUUAGUGAUCUUGAGGCUAUGUGCCAAAUUUAAGAAUGUGUGCCAAACUUGAGGUUAUGUGUCCAUACCAUGCAUCAUCAUCAUCAUCAUCAUAUACAUUGCACCCGCCUUAUUGUGUUUAUGUUGUGUUUGAAUUGCCAUAUUGACUUGUCAUCCACCUAAUUGUUCUAUAUCUUGACUUAUUAACGUCUAAUUAUUCUAUAUUUCUUUAAUUGUACUUGAUGAUCUUGAUUAUACAUGUCCCUCUUUUGUUCUACAUGUAUGUGAUAUUGUGUAUAUUCGUAUCCCUAUCUUGUGUAUUGUUGUAUUAUAUAUGGAUAUUAUAGAACUGUCAGUGCAAGCGGUAUGGGGUAUCGUUAUGGGACAUUUUCUGAUUGCAGGUGACGUGCCCUUAGUGUAUAUUUUGUAUGCUUUAUUUACUACUUAGUUUGGUCGGCCUAUGAUACCUACUGAGUACGAAUGGACCGUACUCAUACCUACUGCGUCUUUUUAGUAUAGGUCCUAGCUCGAGUGUGCCUCAACUUGCUUGACUCGGGCGAUUAUUGGAGCUUCCAAGGUAGUGGUUGGACAUUUAUGCGUCCAGAGUUCACCUCUAUUUUUCUAUUGUAGUUAUGUCUUUAUUAGUAUUCGGAGACAGAUAUUACUCAAUUUCGGUUAUUUUUCUGAUGUAUUUGACUCUUGAAUUGUAUUAAUAGUUCUUACACUAUUGACACCUGAUUUUGCGCAAAAUUGAUAUCUUGGAUAAGUUCUUUCUGUAUUAUAAUAAUUACUUCUAUGGUUUGGCUUCGUUCUAGAAGCCUUACCUUGGGAUGUUUCUGUCUUUUCCUCUUUUUGUAUCAGUUUGGGUGAUAGGCUUACCUGUCAAGGUAUGCCAUGAUAGGUGCCAUUAUGAUCCUCACUUUUGGGUCACGAAAAAUUGGCAUCAGAGCAGCCAGUUUUCAUUGGUCUCAACGAUGUAAGAACGAGAUGUCUAAUAGAGUCUCGCAGAUCGGUACGUAGAUGUCCGUAUCUAUCAUCGAGAGGCCAUAGGACGUCUUUAGGGAACUUUUCUUAUUUUAUUCCUUAUCGUGCGAAGUUCUUUCAUACCUUAUGUUCUGAGUUGUGUUUUACUCUUUCUGCACGGAUGGUGCGACUUAUAAUACCAUCAGUUGAGAGAUGCUGGGAGAAAUGGGUGGAGAUUGUUUGUUAACUGUAGGCCUGUUGAUGCUCCUAAGUUGUCAUGGGAUCAAAUUGAUAAUGCCUUUCUGGAGAGAUUCGUGUCUUAUAGUUUGAGGGAUCGGAUACAGGACGAGUUUGAUCAUUUGGAGAAGGACUCCAUGAAAGUUGUGGAGUAUAAGGGAUAUUUCUAUGCCCUGUCCAAAUAUUUCUAUGAUAACAUUGCCAUCGAGUCUGAUAAGGUUUGAAAGUUUGUGAAGGGUUUGGAAAUUUUUACUUCAGUUGGCUACGUCUCAAAUGGUUGUGUUUGGGGCUUAUUUUCAGAGAAUUAUGAAUCACGCUAAGAUCAUAGAGGAUAUUCUUAGUGCAUCUCAGGGAGGCGCCAAGAAAGCGCGAUGUUUUGGUGAGUUCGGGAGGCAGACCUAUUGAGGUAGAGAUUUUAGAGGUUCUUGUGGAUACCAUGGUAGACUAGUGGAGGCUUUACAGAGUUCAAGGGGUGGAUCUUCUAGUUCAGUAGUUCAGGGUGGCCGUUCGAGCCCAGUUGUACCUUCUCCUGUUGAGGCUGUUCAUAGAGGUUGCUAUAUGUGUGAUGAGACUGGCUAUGUGGCGAGGGACUGCUCCGGUAGGUGAUUCUUUAGUGGUGGAUCAGGUGCACCGAUCUUGUGUUGUGAUUUUUGGAGGGCGUGAGACUUUGAUAGACUUGCUUGUGUUAGACAUGGUCGAUUUUGAUGUUAUUUUGGGUAUGAAUUGGUUAGCUCCUUAUCAUGAUGUCUUAGAUUAUUUUGAUAAGAUUGUGACUUUAGCUUCGUCGGGUGUGCUAAGGAUAGAUUGGAAAAGCGUACUUCAUUUGGGUCCUAAGACAAGAGAUUAUAUCUUAUGUUCAUGCUUGUAAAUUGGUUGAGAGGGGAUGUUUAUCUUACUUGGCUUAUAUUCGUGACACCAGUAUUAUUUCCCCUUCUUUCUUGGAUUCAGUCCGUGAGUUUAUGGACGUGCUCCCUAAGGACUUUCCUGGUAUGCCUUUGGAUCGAGAUAUUGAUUUCACUAUUGAUGUUGAGUCGGGCACCAAGCCCAUUUUUGUGCCUCCUUAUACGAUGGCCUCAGCAGAGUUGAAGAAACUGAAGGAUCAGUUGUAGGAGUUGUUGGAUAAGGGAUUUAUCCAACCUAGUGUUUCACCUUGGGGUGCGCCUAUCUUGUUUGUGAAGAAAAAGUAUGGGUCUAUGCAGAUGUGUAUUGAUUAUCGAUAGCUGAAUAAGGUGACGGUUAAGAAUAAGUAUCUUUUUCCUCGCAUUAAUGAUUUAUUUGAUCAGUUUUAGGGUGUUGUGGUGUUUUCAAGGAUUGGUUUGGGGUCUCGUUGUCACUAGUUGAUGAUUAGAGCUUUGGAUAUUCUGAAGACAGCUUUAUGGACUCGAUAUGAUCAUUAUGAGCUAUUGGUCAUGUCUUUUGGGUUGAGCAAUGCCCCUGUCACGUUCAUGGAGUUGAUGAAUCGGGUGUUUUGAUCAUAUCUCAAAUUCUUUGUUAUUGUAUUUAUAGAUGAUAUCUUGGUUUAUUCCAAGAGUGAGGUUGGGCAUUUAGAGCAUUUGCAGAUUGUGCUUCAGAUAUUGAGGGAUGAGAAGUUGUAUGUUAAGUUUUCUAAGUGUGAGUUUUGGUUGGAGUCUACUUCUUUCUUGGUCCAAGUAGUGACUAAGGUAUUAUGGCUGAUCUAGCCAAGGUUGCAGCGAUUCGUGAUUGGGCUAGACCUACUUCGCCCACCGAGAUUUGGAGCUUUGUUGGCUUGCCAGGUUAUUAUCGGCGUUUUGUUGAGGGUUUCUCUUCUAUUGCAGAUCUAUUGACCAAGUUGACCCAAAAGAAGAUUUCUUUUUAGUGGUCCGAUGCUUAUUAGGCGAGUUUCCAAAAGCUCAAGAAUUUGUUGACUUUAUCUCCUAUCUUAACUUUAUCUAAGGAGAGUGUGGGUUUUACCAUCUUUGGUGAUGCUUCAGGUAUUGGGUUAGGUUUUGUAUUGAUGUAGGAUGGCAAGAUAAUUGCUAAUGCAUCUCAUCAGUUGAAGCCUCAUGAGAGGAAUUAUUCUACCCAUGGUUGGAGUUGUGCGCAUUUGUGUUUGCCUUGAAGUUAUGGAGGCACUACUUGUAUAGAUUCUGUUGUGAAAUCUUCUCAAAUCAUCAUAGCCUUCAUUACCUCACCCAAAGAGAUCUUAAUAUGAGGCAGCGCCGUUGGCUUGAGUUUCUUAAGGAUUAUGACUUGACUAUUCUCUAUCAUUUGGGCAAGGCUAAUAUGGUUGUGGAUGCCUUGAGUCAGAAGUCGACUGACAUGGGUAGCUUGGAGUGUCGUUUGACCCAAGAGAGGCUUUUGACCUUAGAAAACCAGUCUUUAGCUAAUCAGAUGGUUAGGCUUGAUAUUUCGACACUUGGGCGUGUUUUGGCUUUUGUGGAGGCUAGAUUUUCUUUGAUGGAGAAUAUUAGAGCUCAGCAGUUUGAUGAUGUUGGAUUGACGUUGAUUCGAGAUAAGGUGUUGAGUAGUGAGGCUAAGGAAGCUUCACUUAAUUUAGAUGAAGUUUUGAAGAUUGGAGGCCGAGUUUGUGUGUUGAGAUUACGUGAUUAAAUUAGGCUGAUCUUCGAGGAGGCGCGUUGUUCUAAAUAUUUUAUCCAUCCAAGUGUAACUAAGAUGUAUCGUGAUUUGAGGCAACAUUACCGGUGGGGUGGUAUGAGGUGAGAUAUAGCGGAUUUUGUGGCUUGUUACCUAUGUUAUCAGCAGGUGAAGGCCGAGCAUAUGAGACCUGGUAGGUUGCUUCAGAGGUUACCCAUUCCUGAAUGGAAGUGGGAAUGGAUCAUCAUGGACUUUGUGACUGGUUUUCCUCAUACAUCUCAUGCUUCUGACAGUGUUUGUGUCAUUUUGGAUCGAUUUCCCAAGCCAACUUAUUUUAUUCCAGUUCAGGUCUCAUUCAGUGCUGAGAAGUUGGCUCGUAUCUACAUUCGUGAGAUUAUGCAUCUGCAUGGUGUGCUGGUGUCCAUUACUUUCGAUCGAGGUUUGUGUUCACAUUUCACUUUUGGAAGAUUUUUCAAGAUGAGUUGGGUAUUCGGGUUGAUCUUAGCAGAGUGUUUCACCCCCAGACUGUUGGCCAGUUAGAGCGGACUAUCCAGGUUUUAGAGAAUAUGCUCCGUGCUUGUGUUAUGAAUUUUGGUGGCCAAUGGGAGCAGCAUUUAGCUUUAGCAGAGUUUGGAUUUAAUAAUAGCUAUCAUUCUAGUAUUGAUAUGGCUCCUUUUGAGGAAUUGUCGCUCCACAGUGGGUUGAUUUGAUAUUUUAGAGAUGAGACCUCGAGUUACAGACUUGCUUCGUGAGUCUUUGGAUAGAAUUCGGGUCAUUUAGGAUAGACUUAGAGCGGCUCAGAGUAGGCAGAAGUGCUAUGCUGAUCGCAAACUUCAUGCCCUGAGAUUUGAUGUUGGUGAUCGCAUUUUCCUUAGAAUUUCACCCAUGAAAGACGCGAUGAGGUUUGGGAAGAGGGGCAAGCUUAGCCCCAGGUAUAUUGGUCCAUUUGAAAUUCUUCAGAUUAUUGGUGAUGUGACUUAUGAGUUGGCUUUGCUCCCUGAUUUAUCAAGUGUUCACCAGUUUUUAAUGUUUCUAUGCUUCGUCGCUAUAUUUCUAAUGAGUCUUAUGUCACUCGUUGGGAUUCGGUUUAGUUAGAUGAACGGUUGUCCUUUGUUGAGGAUCCGAUCUUCAUUUUUCUUAGCUAGGGAUGUUAGGAGGUUGCACUCUAGAGUUAUCUCUGUGGUUAAGGUCCAGUGGCGACAUCGACCUGUAGAUGAGGCUACUUGGAAGGUCGAGUCUGAUAUGCAUAGUUCUUAUCCUCAGCUCUUCAUUGAUUCAGGUAUUUCUUGGUCUUUGUUCGAGAAAGAACUAGAUCUUUAGUGGUGGAUGAUGUAACGACCAAAAAGUUUGAUGAAAUAUGUGAAAUUUAUAAUUUUGCGUGAUUUAGCUGUUUUACUCCUCCCUAUAGUUGCAUUAUGGUAUUUCUGGUGUGUGUGGGUGAUUGACAUGAUUUUCGAUGUAUUUUGGUACCAUUUAUGGGAUAUUGUGGUUUUAUCUAGCUUCGAGAGCCUUAUUUUGAACUUAUAGGGAUAUCUUUUGAUCUAUGUGACGGAUGACUGAACGGACUACGCCAACAGCUCCGAAAUAUUAAUUUUAGGCUAGGUACACCUUUGGUUUGAAUCCCUAUGCACCCAAGCUCAUUUCAACCUAUUGAUCAGAAAGUUGAAAAAAAUUAAAAAUAUGGGUAUGGGAUCCACAUUUGAUCGAAACAACCUCGGAUGAAAAAUCCGACUUCGCCAUCAGAUCCGAAAUUUUACGGCUUUUAAAUCUCAUUUCGAUCCUCGAUUUAGAAAAUUGUGAUUUCAAAUUUCGGGGGUCAACUUUGUGAAAAUAAUAUUUUUUUAAAAUAUGAUAUCGCUGUCGCGUCUAGAAUGUCGAAUUUAGUAUGUUUGCAUAGUUCGUUUGCGUGUAUCGAACUCUGAACGAAUUCCGAGCACCCCAUCGAAGUUCGGAUUGGACUUGAGAAAAAAAUAACAAUUUUUUCUGCUAUAACGGUGCAGAAAAUUUGUACUAUUUAAGCAACUUUUUGGGCCCAUUUUGCUUAUUUUUCAUCUUGCCCCUUGAGAGUUAAACCCUAAAAUAGUGUGAGAGCUUAAAAGUGAAGCUUGGUUUUAACAUAUAUUUCUUGGUUUUAUUAUGUAUUUAAGAUAAAAAUUCACCCUUUCCUUAUUAAUUUCUUGAUUAAUUUCUCAAAACUUCAAAAAUUUUAGGGCUUGAUUUUAAACCUCAUUUUGACUUGAAUAAUGUUUUUAUCUUAUAAUUAUUUAUUUUUCAUCAAUUUAACCUUCAAAACAACCCCGAUUCUUGAUUUUAACCUGAAUUUCAAAGAUUUUACCUGGUAAAACAAAAAAAUGGUUUUUCUUCAAUUUGAACCUCUUUUUUUACUCGAUUUGACUUGGGUUUUCAGCUAUAGAUUUCUAAAAAUAUGGAGAACAUGUUUUUGAAGUAAAGUUUCGAUUCUGCCUUUCUCUUUUGGAAACUCGUUUUGGGGUUCGUUUUGAGCCCGAACUAAAAGUAGUCAAUAUAGGUGUUGUUGGUUUUGUUUUGAUGCAUAGAUUUCAUAUUUGAUGUUUUUAGUGAAGUUUAAGAAUUUUCAUGAAAAGUAAGAUCGUGGGUUCGGAAUGUAGCGAACCGAUUUCGACUUUUGAGAUAAGUUAUGGCUUAACUCUUUCAGACUGGCUGGGUAGUAAAUGUUAAUAAAAAAUGUGGAUGGGAACUAAUCAUAAAAAAUGUCUAUCUAUGUAUUGUGCACGUGUGGAGGCCUAUAUAAGAUGUAAUUAUCGUAAUUGAGAUAUUAUGUGAUGUGUGAUCGUGUGGGGUCCUAUGUGACAUUGUUAACCUUGAAUACAUGUGAAUAAUUCUAUUGUGUUGUUGAAAUGCCUAAUGUGGUUUCAUUGGUAUAUUGUGAUAUAUCCAUACUUAUUGGUAUAUGAGACAUGUGAAAAUUCAUGGAUGAAACAGAAGUAAUGAGUGGAUAUUGGCUAAGGCUGCUUAUCGGACGGAUCGGAUGAACCAUUAAAUAUAACAGUUUGGCUUAACAAUUAUCGAUUUUAAAAUAUACAAAUCUACUAGCCAACCAAUAAGAUAUCGGUUGGUUUGGUAACGGAUAAAUAAUUAUCGGGCGGUUAUCAGACGGUUUAUUGGACAUUCACAAUUUCUACUUGAAUUCAAACACCUUACAGAAAACAGAACAUAAUAAUUGGCAAUCUCAAUCAUAACAAAUUUUUCAAUUUAUGUAGUACAUGGUUCAAAGAGAACUCUCAAUAUUGUAAGCAAAAAGUUUCAUUUGCCCAAGCUAUAAUACAUUAAUUUCUCCACAUUAUGAUAUUCUUGAAACAAAAGUGACAUAUAUUACAACAAAUUAAGCAUUUGAUCGUAACAAGCUCACGAGGAUGCACUAAUUAAACUAUGUGCUUCAAUGUCCACAUGCUUAAUAUCAGGAACUAUUUCCUGGAUUUCCUUUUCUAGCCAACCAACUUUAGCCCCUAAUGCUGUUUUCUUUCCUUUGAAAAAUAUAUUUAAAGUUUAAAGUCGGUAGAGCUUUUGAAGUUGGCAAACCUUCUGUUGCUUUGCUUUUUUGCGUUGAUAACUUUAGUACUUUACUGUUUAAUUUUUAUAUUAUUCGAGGUUAAUUAGGAAUGGGCCUUUAGGUUCGAAUAUAGAUCCAUUAGGUUUGAAUUUAUAUUUUAUAAUAUAAUAUAAAUUAAUAUGUAUUUUACACAUUUAGGUGAAAAAUAUAAGAAUAUAUGAUAAUUUUUAACGGGUUAACGGUUUAUCCAAUAAGGAAAUAGUGUAAUCCACCCCCACUUUAAUAAGCCGUUAAUGAAAAAAAUUUUAAUGCGUUCACCAACCGUUUAUCCGAUAGCCAAUAUCAAUAAGCCAAUAAGUCAAUUUUGCGGAUGGCUUAUUGGAUACGAUUCGAUUUUGAACAGCCUUAAUAUUGGCUCACGUGAUUGUAGAAUUGUAACAUUAUGGCUAGUUGUAGAAAUACAUCAUGUGGAUUAGGCGUGAAAAUAUAUCACGUGAUUUGGUUGUGGAAAUACUCAUUUUGAAUGAUUGUGAACAUUGCAUCGUCAUUCUCAUGUCAUCAUACACAUCAUUUCACUUGUUCGUUUUACUGCUUUAUAUAUACUUGUUGUCAUAUAUGUGUAUUUGAUUUAUGUCUUAUGUUAUGUAUGUGCUUUGAAAAUACUGAAAACAUUGGAAUACUAGAUAUUGGUAUCGGAUAUUGGAUUUUGUGAACCAUCUUCAAAUGAUCAUGCCAGAGAAAAAUUGUGGAUAUUGGUGAUCUUGAGGUUAUAUGCCAAACUUGAGGCUGUUUGCCAAAUUUAAGGUUGUGUGCCAAACUUGAGGUUGUUUGUUAAAUUUAAAGUUGUGUGCCAAACUUGAGGUUGUGUGUGAAACUUGAGGCUAUGUGUCAAUACCAUGCAUCAUCAUCAUCAUCAUAUAUAUUGCACCCGCCUUAUUGUGUUUAUGUUGUGUUUGAAUUGACAUAUUGACUUGUCAUUUACCUAUUUGUUCUAUAUCUUGACUUGUUAAUGUCUAAUUGUUCUAUCUUCCUUUAAAUGUACUUGAUGGUCUUGAUUAUACAUGCCCCUCUUUUGUUCUACCUGUAUGUGAUAAUGUGUAUAUUUGUAUUCGUAUCUUGUGUGUUGUUGUAUUAUAUAUGGAUAUUAUAGAACUAUUAGUACAAGCGGUGUCAGCUACCAUCAUGGGACAUUUUUUAAUUGCAGGUGGCGUGCCCUUAGUGUAUAUUUUGUAUGCUUUAUUUACUACUUUGUUUAAUCGGCCUAUGAUACCUACUGAGUACAAGUGAACCAUACUCAUGCCUACAGCAGUCUUUCGGUGCAGGUCCUAGCUCGAGUGCGCCUUGGCUUGCUUGACUCGAGCAAUUAUUGAAGCAUCCGGAGUUCACCUCUAUGCUUCUAUUGUAGUUAUGUCUUUAUUAGUAUUCGGAGACAUAUAUUAUUUUCUUUUAUUUAUUUUUCUAAUGUAUUUGACUCCUGAAUUGUAUUAUUCUGAAGCAUCCGGAGUUCACCUCUAUGCUUCUAUUGUAGUUAUGUCUUUAUUAGUAUUCGGAGACAUAUAUUAUUUUCUUUUAUUUAUUUUUCUGAUGUAUUUGACUCCUGAAUUGUAUUAGUGUUUCUUACACUAUUGACACCUGAUUUUGGGCAUGAUUGGUAUUUUGAAUAAGAGUUUUCCGCAUUGUUAUAAUUACUUAUAUGGUUCAGCUUCGUUUUAGAAGUCUUACCUUGAGAUGUUUCUAUCUUUUCCUCUUUUUGUAUCAAUUUGGGUGAUAGGCUUACUUGUCAAGAUACGCCGUGAUAAGUGUCAUCAUGACUCUCGCAUUUGGGUCGUGACAAAUUAGGAAUCUGAGAGUCAAGUAAUAAGCCCAGAAAAUGAAAUUAAGAAAGAACAAACAUUUAAACUUCGAAAUGUCUAAAAUGUGAUCAAACAGAUACUAAACUCGAACAAAAUACUCUUAAUUCUUUGAAAGACUACCACCAAAGGGGAACUAUUGCCAAUAAACUUUACUAUAGAUGCACACGCGUGAAGAAGUACCGGGACACUUUAAAGCAACUAAUUCAUUAAUUACACACAUUGUCCCUUUCAUAAUGGAAACUUAACGACCUAUCAAAAGGCCAAACAGAAAAGGGUUUCUAGUUACACUUACCAUCCUCUUUCCAAUUUUUACUCUUCCAGGAAGUGAUUAAAGAAAUACAAUACGCGCCUUAAGACUAUACAGUGAACGAAAAUAAGUAAGGCCAUAUAUUUAAUUCUUGAAAUGCUCGUGUGAAUGUCCGUCCAGACCAAAUAAAGAAGCACAAAACUUGACUCAAUUACCAACUUCGUUGACUUUGCAUUUUGAAUUCACUGGGAACAAAAUACAUCACAUAUUCUAAACACGGAAUUGCCAUAUUUAUAGAAAAUUGUAAUUUAAUUUAGACCAGAAUAACUCCACGGCCGAAUUUGAAACCAACAUGAAUUGCAUGUUCACCUAUUUUGACACCGGACAUAUGUGAGAAUGAGAAUUGAGGCUAGAUAAAAUUAUUUAACAAGGCUCAAGUAAAAACACCACACACUUUUAUUCAAUUUGAACUUGAGGAAAUGCAACUACGCAGAGAGAUAAUAAAAUAGGUACGUGAUGAUGCCAUAUCAAUUUAAGCCAUAGAUACAAAAUUUUACCCCACUUUCUUAAAAGAAAAAUCAACCAAAUACAAAAUUUUGACGUAAACAAAAAUUUAAUACUACUUGAACAUCACAGAUGUGAGUCCUAUGACCAUCUGGACAUGAAAACUAUUAGAAAAGGGAGGUUUUGGAAGUCAUAUUUCAAACGGGAAAACAAAUGUUUUAAGUCUUAAGAAUUACCAUUCAGCCAAGUCUGGCAAAAUCGGGAGAAUAAUACAAUCAAAACGGGGUGGAAAAUCAUUUCCGAUUGUUCACGAGACCAUACAACAAUAACAACAAUAACAACAACAACAACAAAACCAGUAUAUUCCCCACAUAGUGGGAUCUGGGAGGAUAAAAUGUACGCAGUCCAUACCACUACCCCGAAGGAGUACAGAAGCUGUUUCCGAUAGACCCCCGGCUCAAGACAGAUUGUGUGUAACCACCUAAAACAACAUAAACAUCAGACCCCCUUUUAUCCCCAAUUAUUUCAAACUCACGAGAUUCCAAUUGUUACGGAUAGAGACCAACUAUGAAAAAUAAUGGAGUUAAGCUCCCAAAAACACAGUGUGGGCAUAUACAGUAUUUCAGGGUAAAUCCAUAAGAGGUCACGUAUAUCUCAUUUUUAUAUACGACGGCCACGUAGACGAUGACGAGUAAAAUUACAAGGCAAGACGAAAGACUCACACUCUUUUCGGGACUCGAUCCAUGAACUAUACACUAAAUGAAAAAUCACUGGAAAGCGGGAAAAGAAAAACAUACUUUCAUAUUUCGCAAACUUACGUUCUUAACGGGAAACAAAAAGGAAAGAAAAAAAAAAACUACUAACUAGCUAAUUUGACCACGAAUCAGCCAUCUACAUAAAGAGGAGGAACAUCUUUGUAUGUUUAUUUGUAUAUUUACAUAUUUGCACAAAACCAGCUUCAUGAAAAUCGACGUUCCACCUUUACUUCAUCGAAAUAACGACAGAACAACUACAAAAUCUUAACAUUGGCCAAAACUCACAAAUUCUUGUAUAUCAAAAAAAAAAAAAAACGAAAGAGAUAAAGAGUGAGAUGAAAAGAGGGAUUUCACACCUUUCUUGGUGCAGCAAAAUAGAGGCUUUGACGCCUAAAGGUUUCCGACAACUGCAAACUCAACCACGGGACCCCAGAAUUGGACCAAAUCAGAAAGAUAAUAGCCGAUUUUUUCCUGCAUCACUCGCUUCUCUCUUUGAUUUCCACUCUUUUCUCCGUUUUUCACCUCUUUUGUCACAAAUUUUUCAUACCUUUUCUCAUUGGUUCUUUUUUCAAUCUUUCUCGCUAGUUUUCUUUGUUCCUUCUCUUAACACUGUUUUUUUUCUUGUUCCCUUAGAGAUGACGUAUUUAUAGGUGAAUCCGGACUUGAAAGUCCGGAUCCAAGACACAAAUUAAGCAAAACGUGAGAGAAUUGAUUUGAAAUUUGAAAUGAAUCUCAGAAACGAAUCCUCUUCCGAAUCUUUAACUUUUCAGGCCAUUGAUUGCGAAUACGAAUUUCUUUUCCAUUGUUAUCAUCGAUUUAGGGUCUGUUUUCUCCGUCUUUUCAUUUUCACGGGUUAGGGUGACACUAAAAAAGAGAUUCUCGAGCAUCCUAGCGGCAGGCUUGGGUGGAGAUUAGGGUUCCUUAUUUCGGGAUGGUAGAUGAGGGGUGAGGGGUGAGGGGUGAGGGAUGAGGAGGAGAGAAGGUCCGUGGUUGGAGCUGAUUUUGGAAAAAUGAUGGUGACCGCAAGCUGAUUUUGGGAAGAGGAGAGAUACGCGUUAUGGUUUUUGGGAAAGAGAGAGGGAGACACUUUUUUUUUGUUUUGGAAUCCUUGACUAAUUUUGAUUCGUAAGAUCAAAAGAUCGUACCACUAAAAACAAGUACACUAAAAUAAUAAUAGUAAAUAAAAAACAUGUAUUUUAGUAUU